UGACCUUCUUUUCUGAACUCACUGUGUCAUUUGCUUUGGCACUUGCUUGUAUUUUGUUCUUAUUUUAGGAAGUAAGUGGGAUGCCAAAGGAAUUGUCUCUCAUGUAUAUGAUUUUUCUUCCCCAACUACUCCUGGAGGGCAGAGAGAUUCCUCACUCAACAACUCACGAGUUGUUGAGUCACAAGUACCCAACAGGUUCAUCAAAUUCCAUUAUUGAGUUGGAAGGGACUUCAGAAGAAGGAAGUCAGCAGGCAUCUAUCAGAUUUUGACCUUGAAGAGAAAUCCACCUGGCCUUCGGAUAGAUGUACUUCUGGAUCCACAUGCAGACCUCAUUUUUGUCCUAAAGGUUGAUUGUCUCUUAUCAGUCUUGAUCCUGGCAAAUGCUUAUGUGGGAU
rnacentral:lncRNA from 1 species